CCCCUGUCAGGUCGUCGCCUGUAGGCAGUGAGAUGGCUGCCCUGGGUGAGGGGCAGGAAAUUCACAGGAGACAAGUCUGCCCGGAGUCCCCAGCCGCUUAGCAACCUCCUUAAAGGCACAGCCUCUGGGUGCAGGAUCUGAACCAUGUAGAAGUGGUUUUUGGAGGCUACAUCUUGGGUAUCAGUCUAAACACAUUCAAGCUGUGAGCCUCAUUAAAGUGCUCUCCAGGGGGAGGCGAGCAGAGAUUCAGGUGUCAGCGCUGCUCCUCACACCCGCGCCCGCCUGCCAGCGCCCAGCCUCUGCUCAGAAGCCGAGUCUGCUGGCAUCUGGGCCGGCCCGCCGCUCUCAGCUGGGACUCGCCCCUCCCGCCCCUCUCUCCAGCCCAGCAAGCUCGGAGUCUCUUCCAUCCAAAGAGAAACGUGCCCUCAGGAGGGAGCAGAAUGGCUGCCACUGGUCCUUGUGACCCCCAGACCAGCUCAGAAAGAAAGAGGUCUUCAUGGGAGCAGGAGGCCUGAGCCUGCCUUCUGCCUGCGUCCUGGAGCUUUUUAUCCAGAGCGGUUCCUUUCUUCCCUUCCCACCCCUUCAGAGAAAAGCCAAGGCCCUAUGCACACCCCGCCACCUGCACCCUCCACCUCCUGGCGGGAGUUCCCGGCUCUCUCGACUGGCAUCUGCUGGGGCGGCCCCUCCUCAGGAAGAAACCUGAGUCCCUCUGGCUUCCGUGUCUGGGAUUCCUGAUUGCUGGAAGCCGAGGCAGGGGACGGACUAUUUGCCAAACAGAGAAACAUGAAACGUUCCUCAACCCCCUUGAAACCUUGAGGAAAAUAAUGCCAGCCCCCUCCAGGGACUAAAUAGAGGCUCAGCCCCAAAACAGAGGGAAAACACAAUUCCAGAGAGUCUCCCUGGGGGGCUGAGGGACCUGAGGAGGGCCUGGCAGGGGUCCCAGACCCUUCGGUCAUCUCUCCUUUCUGCUCUCCUCACACCUCUGAGUGCUCUGUGUUCAUGGAGAUGCUCAGAGGGGGUCAUCUCAGCCAAUCUGAUUAAUAUAACAUCAAUGUCUACUGUGGGCUGCAGCCUGGGGGUGAGGUCAUCUAGAGCUCGGUGUCAACAGUAGAGGUUUCCCAUGAGAACCACCUGCCAGCUGUGGGGACAGUGUGUACACAAAUGGCUCUAAUUCAGGAUGGAAUGAGGGAUGAUGGUCCUGAGUGUACGCAGUAAGGGAGAACAGGUCCAGAAAGGUUGGGGGCACUGGAGCAGAACCAGGAGGGAUGCUCAGGACUACAA
ensembl:lncRNA